rnacentral:rRNA from 1 species
CACGUAGGGGGCGAGCGUUGUCCGGAUUUAUUGGGCGUAAAGAGCGUGUAGGCGGCCAAGCAGGUCCGUUGUGAAAACUGGAGGCUUAACCUCCAGACGUCGACGGAAACCGCGCGGCUAGAGUCCGGAAGAGGAGAGUGGAAUUCCUGGUGUAGCGGUGAAAUGCGCAGAUAUCAGGAAGAACACCAAUGGCGAAGGCAGCUCUCUGGGACGGUACUGACGCUGAGACGCGAAAGCGUGGGGAGCGAACAGG